rnacentral:piRNA from 1 species
GCCAGGAAACACCCCCAUAAUGGUGGAGGGC